rnacentral:rRNA from 1 species
ACCUAGUAGUACGGAAUAGCCAUUAGAAAUGGUGGGUAAUACUGUAUAAUCCCCGAGGGGGAAAGAUUUAUCGCUAUUAGAUGAGCCUACGUUAGAUUAGCUAGUUGGUGAGGUAAUGGCUUACCAAGGCUAUGAUCUAUAGCUGGUCUGAGAGGACGAUCAGCCACACUGGAACUGAGAUACGGUCCAGACUCCUACGGGAGGCAGCAGUGGGGAAUAUUGGACAAUGGGCGAAAGCCUGAUCCAGCUAUGCCGCGUGAGUGAAGAAGGCCUUCGGGUUGUAAAACUCUUUCAAUAGGGAAGAUA